rnacentral:rRNA from 1 species
UACGGAGGGUGCAAGCGUUAUCCGGAUUCACUGGGUUUAAAGGGAGCGUAGGUGGGUCGGUAAGUCAGUGGUGAAAUCUCCGGGCUUAACUCGGAAACUGCCAUUGAUACUAUCAGUCUUGAAUAUUGUGGAGGUUAGCGGAAUAUGUCAUGUAGCGGUGAAAUGCUUAGAUAUGACAUAGAACACCAAUUGCGAAGGCAGCUGGCUACACAUAUAUUGACACUGAGGCUCGAAAGCGUGGGGAUCAAACAGG